rnacentral:rRNA from 1 species
UACGAAGGGGGCUAGCGUUGCUUGGAAUCACUGGGCGUAAAGCGCACGUAGGCGGCUUCUUAAGUCAGGGGUGAAAUCCUGGAGCUCAACUCCAGAACUGCCUUUGAUACUGAGGAGCUUGAGUCCGGGAGAGGUGAGUGGAACUGCGAGUGUAGAGGUGAAAUUCGUAGAUAUUCGCAAGAACACCAGUGGCGAAGGCGGCUCACUGGCCCGGUACUGACGCUGAGGUGCGAAAGCGUGGGGAGCAAACAGG